rnacentral:lncRNA from 1 species
ACUGUCCUCUCAGUUCAUUCUAACAAUCGCCUUGUGAAGGAAACGUACUCUUACUCCUUCUGCAGAUGUGGAGACAGAGGCAGAAAAAAAAGCCAUGCCCAAAGUGACACAGCACAUAUCCUGGGUGAAAAUGGGUUAAAAGGAAAAAAGAGACGUGUGUAAUGGAAGAAAGAUUUCGUAAAGGAACAGCCUGGAAUGUUUGUGUUUGUGUGGGCUGACAGAGACCGCCAGUGAGAGAAUCUAAUUGCAAACAUCUUCAGUGAGAUUUCAAGGUCUACAAUAUAUGUGUGUUAAAGAGCUGGAAGGAGCAACACUGGAUAAUAAGAGGUUGCGAUGACAACUUGAAAUCUCUUCAGCCACCCACCAUCCUCCCAAGGCAUCUGAUGGGACGUGAGAGAAAGUCUGAAUAUCCAGCAAUGUCUAUGCACUUCUCUGGGGCAGGCAAGGAUCUUCCCAAAUCAAAUUCAGAAACCCAACAGAAGUUUGUGGGAAGGAGAACCAAAAUUGGUCUAGUAGGUCUAGGAAGAGACUCUAAAAGAGCCUGGUUCGUCCCUGGAAUUUAGUGGUUUCUUAUUUAGGUUAAUUUCUUUUUCUCUUCUACACUGCCCAUCCUAUGUGCCUUGGGAAGGUCAGGGGCAGCCCUCUCUCCUACAACCCUUUUUCUAACUCUAGUAAGUUACUCAGAACCACCAUCUCCAUGGUGCCUUUCCCAAACAGAGCCUCUCACCUUGGUGGGACAGAGAACCUUGAAAAACUUGGUGUGGACGGCAGACUAAUGGCCCACAAAGAAGUCCCCAUCCAAAUCCCUGAAACCUGUGAAUUAUGUUAGGUGACAUAGUAAAGUGCAAUUAAGGUUGCAGAUAGAAUUAAGUUUGUUAGUCAGCUGAUUUUAAGAGAUCGAGAGUGUAUCCUGGAUUAUCCAGGUGGGUCCAAUGUAAUCACAAGGUUCCUUAAAAGUGGAAGAGGCUGGCAGAAGUUAGAGACACAAAGAGAUGGCAAUGUGGGAAGGAAUUGACCUGACUUUCCUGGCUUUAAAGAUGGAGGAAGAGGGGCCGUGAGACGUGAGAGAGCCAUGAGGCAGAUUCUCCCCUGGAGCCUCCAGAAAGGAGUAUAGCCCUGCUGCCAUCUUGGUUUUAGCCCAGUGAAGCCUGUGUUGGACUUCUGACCUACAAUACACAUUGCAGGUUGGGUUCCCUGGGAAGCUGACACUGAAAAGCAGCUUAACAUGCAGGAUGUUUACUGAAGAGUUCUCUUGGGAUGAACACCUGGGAAAGGAGAGGAAGGAAGAAGGACUGGGCAGGGGGAGAAGCUGAGCUGGGAUGCAAGCCUGACAGCCUCAUCCAACCCCAUGAGGAGCUCUGGAGCUAGAAGGGAUCUUCAGUAUUGUCCUGAUCUAGACCAAGACGGCCAGGAGUUUUUGUAAUUGCACACUGAUCCAUCAUUGGAUGUGGGGUUCCUAGAAGGGUCUAUGAUCUUGAUUGAAGGGGCAUCUCUGCAGUUGAGACAUCCCUGAAGGGACAGAGAGCUGCAGACAUCUGUCCUCAACACUCUCAGGCUGGAACAGCAAUUGAAGGGGCAUCUGGGCAGCAUAUCACACAGUGUCCACCACAUAUGUCCUCUGUAGGAUAUUUGAAGGGGACUAAUCUAACAUUGGUAUCUAAGAAAGGUAUGAAGGAGAAGAAGGAGAAAGUACUGGAAUCAAGGAGGUUAACCAUUGGGCCACUGCAAGAGUCUAGGAAUGAUGUGGUAAGGGUGAGAAUGGAGAAGGAGGGAAAAUCAAGAGAUGGAUGCAAAUCCACUGCAAAUUGGCAAUCAAGAGAACUAAUGUCUCUGCAGAAUGAAUGUAGACAACAAGGUGACCAAAAACUAGACCUUCUACUUGUGUCUUCAGUGCACGCUUGAGUCUAAUUUUCUUGAUGGGAAAGUUUUCCCUGAACCGACACAACCAGCAGGUGCAAUACACGGAAUAUAUUUCCUUUUAAUCCCUUGUUUUCCUCAGUCAGCUCUCAAGGCAGCUUUGUAUAAUUAUAGAAUGGAAGAAUUGAUUUCAAAUUUUGGCUCUGAUGUGUCUUUUAUGUUUGAUCCUGGUCAAGGGUUUUAAGCUUUCUGAACCCAAGCUUCCUUGUUCAUAAAAUGGUAACAAUGCUAUCUACCCUUCUCAAGGUGGUUAAAAGUAUGAAAAGGAGAUAACAUAUAUGUGAAAAGCAUUUAACACAGUGCCUAGGGCAUAGUAGUUCUUAAACAAAAUCAGUUUUCUUCUCAUGAAAACGGAGACUAAAUCGAACAUUCUAGACUGCUUCAUUGGACCAAGUUUUGAAAGACAAUCUUGUGGGAGAAUAGUCUUUGCCCAGCUUUUAUGUGCAGAGCAAUAAUAUAAAAAAAAACUCCUGGUUUUGAAGUGAAAUAAAUGCAUGAAACAUUCAUCUUUCAGCUCAGACCCAGAAUGUUGAAAUCUGCCUGGAGCAAAAUUUCAUGGCUGAGCAACAGCCCCAGAAAAUAACAUUCUAAGUUUAAAGUUCUGCACCAACCUUCACAUUCCAGACUUAUUUAAAGGAACAUUUUAAGUCUACCAUGAAGUGGCAAUUGAGUUGAUGAAGUUUUUGCUGAAGGAGAAAAGAAGUCAGGUAGCAAGAUUUGUAUUGUUUGGUUUUAGUAGCUUCCUAUCUGGUGAAAAUUAGAAAUGAUCUUUAAGAGAGAAUGUAAUAGGAAUGUUUUGGGUGGACCUCAUGCUGCAGCAGUGUCCUGAGGCCCCCACCAUGUGGAGGCCCCCUGAACAUAUAGAUGUUGCACAUAGAGCAGGGGUCCUCUCCUGAGAGAUGUGCAGUCUAGUGGGGAGACCUCCAUGAAAAUGUACCUUUCUCUAAAUACCAAACAGAAAGGGCUUUGGUCUGACCCAGUUGUCCAUUUGACACCCAAAGCAGAAAGUCUGGGGCCUAUGAGUUUUUCAUGGGCUUAAACACAAAUGUCUGAAUCUGAGAAAAGAGCAGCUCCACAGGGCAGAAAGAAAACUUCAAAAUCAGAAAUGAAUAAACGUGAAGUUAAAUGUUUGUAAAAUUUUACUUUAUGACAGCUAGCCAACCAUAACUCAACAUACAGACCUACAUAUAUGCAUUUAUAUAAAAUAUUUACUUGUAUAUACGUGUGUGUGUAUAUAUAUAUAUAUAUAUAAAAUAUAUAUAAUAUAUCU